rnacentral:rRNA from 1 species
CUAAGAGGCCACCUGGAACAUACCUGAUCUCAUCUGACUCAGAAGCUAACGAAGUUCAGGCUUGGUUAGUGCUUUAAUGGGAGACCACCAGGUGAUACUGGCGAUUUCCAGGU